rnacentral:lncRNA from 1 species
UUUAUCUAAAGUCGCCAGUUCUGCAUGUCUCGGCUAAAACUGCCAAGUUUAGUAUGAUUUUUUCUGCUUUGGUAGGUAAAAUAGUUAUAUAAUUUGUCAUAUAAACUACAUCUUAAACGAAUAAAAAAAAAUUUUAAAAAUGAGAUAUCAUAAUGAACUAGUACAGAAACCCGCGCGAUACGGCUGGUAGAUAAUAAAAUCCCAAAUUUAAAAUUUUAAAAAAUAAAAUAAAAUUUAGAAUCCUAAAUACUAAUUUUUCUAAAUUAUAAAAUUUGGAAUGAAAGUUAUAUGACUCCAAAACAUCACUAUUCUUCAAUAAAUUGUGUCUAGAAACUUUAGAAUUUUACCAAAUUCUAAAAUUCAUACUAUAAACUUCAUGCUAUAAAAUUCAAAUAAAAUAAGUUUCUUACACAUAUCCUUCAAAUAUUAUAGAAAUUAGAUCUUAUGAUACUUUUGCUGGAAAAAUCUUCACUCUCUUCUUCAUCGAAAUCAGAAUAUUGAAUUAAACUGCAAAUAAGAGUACACAUUCAAGUUAUUUAAGACAAUAUUUUAAAACUUCUUAUGAACAUAAUUUUGAAAAGUGUGUAUAGAAAAUAAUGUUAGUAAUUAAAUUUUUCCUGAUGAAACAAUUAAAAUUACUAUCUACUUUGCUUUAAAAAAAAUUUCUAUAUUACCUUAGCAUUCUUUUUUUUCCUCUUGAUUUCCUCACAGUUUCCUCCAACUUGUUAUUUGAGCUUUUCAUUUUGAUAAUUUCAAAAUUGUACAUACAAAAUAAUUAAAAUAAAUAAACAAAUUAAACUUGACGAAGAUGGAUUAAUUAGAAGUCUUGUGGAGGAAAAGUAAAGGAUAGUAAUAAAUUAAUUAGAAAUAAAAUGGUGAGAAUUAUAAAUGACAGGGGGAAUAUUUAAAUACAUUAAUUGAAAGUUUAGUAGUGGGUUAUUUUAGAUGUAUUAAUUAGAUACGUUAAUUAAAAAUUUAAUGGAGAAUUUAAAUACAUUAAUUAGAAGUUUAGUAGUAGACCAUUUUAAAUGUAUUAAUUAGAUACGUUAAUUAAAAAUUUGAUGAAGAGAAGGGGAAGAAUCACAUGGUGGUGAAGGUGAAGAAAAACUUGAUAGGAACUAUUUAAAUACAUUAAUUGGAAGUUUAAUAAUAAGCCAUUUUAGAUGUAUUAAUUAGAUACGUUAAUUAAAAAUUUAAUGGAGAAUUUAAAUACAUUAAUUAGAAGUUUAGUAGUAGACCAUUUUAAAUGUAUUAAUUAGAUACGUUAAUUAAAAAUUUAAUGGAGAAUUUAAAUACACUAAUUGGAAGUUUAGUAAUAGGCCAUUUUAGAUGUAUUAAUUAGAUACGUUAAUUAAAAAUUUGAUGGAGAGAAGAGAAAGAAUCACAUGAUGGUGAAGAUGAAGAAAAACUUGGCACGUGACAAAACAUAUUGAGGAUUCAUAUAAUUUAUUUAUUUAAUAGAUGACGAGUAAAUAAUCCAAGUUCACUAGGAUUUGGUCUGGAGUAUUUUGCUAUAAAUAGAUAAAGGU